rnacentral:ncRNA from 1 species
AAGUGAAAAGAGCAAAUCAGCAGUGAUGCUGAGACGCAAAACUAUAGGGUCUCGCCCGUGAACCGUGCGAGACAGCCAGCUGCCGGA